GCGGGUUAGUUUAAGAGCAAAACACCAGGCGUAUAACCUGGAAGAUACCGGUUCGAAUCCGAGUAACCGCA
rnacentral:tRNA from 1 species